ACACAUGGCAAGUCGAGCGGUAGCACAGAGAGCUUGCUCUCGGGUGACGAGCGGCGGACGGGUGAGUAAUGUCUGGGAAACUGCCUGAUGGAGGGGGAUAACUACUGGAAACGGUAGCUAAUACCGCAUAAUGUCGCAAGACCAAAGUGGGGGACCUUCGGGCCUCAUGCCAUCAGAUGUGCCCAGAUGGGAUUAGCUAGUAGGUGGGGUAACGGCUCACCUAGGCGACGAUCCCUAGCUGGUCUGAGAGGAUGACCAGCCACACUGGAACUGAGACACGGUCCAGACUCCUACGGGAGGCAGCAGUGGGGAAUAUUGCACAAUGGGCGCAAGCCUGAUGCAGCCAUGCCGCGUGUGUGAAGAAGGCCUUCGGGUUGUAAAGCACUUUCAGCGGGGAGGAAGGCGUUGAGGUUAAUAACCUUGUCGAUUGACGUUACCCGCAGAAGAAGCACCGGCUAACUCCGUGCCAGCAGCCGCGGUAAUACGGAGGGUGCAAGCGUUAAUCGGAAUUACUGGGCGUAAAGCGCACGCAGGCGGUCUGUCAAGUCGGAUGUGAAAUCCCCGGGCUCAACCUGGGAACUGCAUUCGAAACUGGCAGGCUAGAGUCUUGUAGAGGGGGGUAGAAUUCCAGGUGUAGCGGUGAAAUGCGUAGAGAUCUGGAGGAAUACCGGUGGCGAAGGCGGCCCCCUGGACAAAGACUGACGCUCAGGUGCGAAAGCGUGGGGAGCAAACAGGAUUAGAUACCCUGGUAGUCCACGCCGUAAACGAUGUCGAUUUGGAGGUUGUGCCCUUGAGGCGUGGCUUCCGGAGCUAACGCGUUAAAUCGACCGCCUGGGGAGUACGGCCGCAAGGUUAAAACUCAAAUGAAUUGACGGGGGCCCGCACAAGCGGUGGAGCAUGUGGUUUAAUUCGAUGCAACGCGAAGAACCUUACCUGGUCUUGACAUCCACAGAACUUUCCAGAGAUGGAUUGGUGCCUUCGGGAACUGUGAGACAGGUGCUGCAUGGCUGUCGUCAGCUCGUGUUGUGAAAUGUUGGGUUAAGUCCCGCAACGAGCGCAACCCUUAUCCUUUGUUGCCAGCGGUUAGGCCGGGAACUCAAAGGAGACUGCCAGUGAUAAACUGGAGGAAGGUGGGGAUGACGUCAAGUCAUCAUGGCCCUUACGACCAGGGCUACACACGUGCUACAAUGGCAUAUACAAAGAGAAGCGACCUCGCGAGAGCAAGCGGACCUCAUAAAGUAUGUCGUAGUCCGGAUUGGAGUCUGCAACUCGACUCCAUGAAGUCGGAAUCGCUAGUAAUCGUAGAUCAGAAUGCUACGGUGAAUACGUUCCCGGGCCUUGUACACACCGCCCGUCACACCAUGGGAGUGGGUUGCAAAAGAAGUAGGUAGCUUAACCUUCGGGAGGGCGCUACCACUUGAUAACGGG
rnacentral:rRNA from 1 species